UAAGCCACCGUCCGGGACGUGAACUACAUGGGAGUUCAGCAACAUAGCCAUUAUGCUAAAUGGUGGUCCCAGAGCCAGGGAUGAUUUGAAAAGACAGGGAGCCAGGAGUCCAUAAUUGGCUUGGAUGAUGCUCCUCCCAUGUUCCCACCUGCCAUCCCAUACCCGACCUUCCUCAGGACACAUGAGGCCGCUGCUACGUCGUGGUCAUGUCCACCUUUAUUGAUUUGUAUCAUGUAAACUGUUCCAGGCAGGUGAUGAGUUCAGGAAAAGAGUUCACAGCCUGUCACAGACUCGGCUUCAGGAGACACCCAGCAAGAUGGCUUGGACCUAGUUGGCAGCGGUAUGGCUAAACGCACCAAGAAGGUCAGCAUUGUCGGUAAAUACAGGACUGCUAUGGUGCUUCCCUCUGGAAAGUGGUGAAGAAAAUUGAAUUCAGCCAGCACGCCAAGUACACUUGCUCUUUCUGUGGCAAAACUAAGAUGAAGAGACGGGCUGUGGGGAUCUGGCACUGUGGUUCCUGCAUGAAAAUGGUAGCUAAUGGUGCCUGGACCUGCAACACCACUUCGGCUGUCACAGUAAAGUCUGCCAUCAGAAGACUGAAGGAAUCGAAAGAUCAGCAGAAGCUCCAUAGAUAUUUGGAAUAUUACUAGUCUACGAUAAAUGGAUGAAUUUAUAUAACAAUAACAAAAAAGAAAUAAU